GUGUGAGUGAGUGAUUUGGCCCGGACACUGCGGUGGCAGGAGGACCGCUGGGUGAAACAUCAGGGCGGAGCUUCGUCUGCCUGCCAGAUGGAUGCCUUGUGAACUUAAAGGCAAAGUAAUCAAGUUGAACAUAAAUCGCUACAAGCAGCCUCAUAUCGGACGCCACCAUACGUCCAGGAGCGCAGUACAGUAGCCCUCAUCUGACCAGACAAACAUGGCGCUCGGAGAGGCGAGGGAUAGAAAAGUAAAAUAUCUACAUCUCCCGAGAGGGCUCUGUGAAAUUUGUGAGGCAAGUGCAUUGAUCUGUUUGGGUGGUUUGUUUUGUUUUGUCGGGGUCAGAUAAGCCUGAUUGAGUGUGAGCUGUGGCGCUGCUCUGCACGAAUGGAGACUUCAACACCGCUGUGGUAUAAGCAUCUGUAACGUGUUGGCCUCCACGUGUUAACUGAGGAAGCAUGGAUGCAAAAGGAUGUUGUUUUUUUUUUUUUCUGGUCUCUCACUGAUUUGAAAAAGCAACAUAGUCUUCUUAUUUUUCAACAGGAUGCCUGUAUGCGAGGGUUAUGUGCAAGGAAAGUAUUUAUUUUUAUUUUCAUGCUUGAGAUUGAGAAUUAUAACUGACGUAGAGUUGUUAGUUAGUUAGUGUGUAAUGUCUCUCACUGUCUCCCUCUCUGUUUUGUUUCCUCUACUCUCUUUUCAGUUUCCUUCUUGGAGGUUUAUCUGGAAUCUCGACUUCCUGUGACCUGUCGAGACUCAUCUGCAUACCAUGGGCUCUGCGUCGGUCGGUGCGCGUGUGUGUGGGGAAUGUGUGGUGUGUGUGUGUGUGUGUGUGUGUGUGUGUAUUGGGGGGAGGAGGGGGGAUAAUUAGUAGAGAUAUGGAGAAUGGAAGAAAGGGGGAGCUGUAUCUCUCUCUGUCUCUCUCACACACACACACACACACACACACACACACACACACACACACACACAGAGAGAAAAGCAGAUAUUUAUAUUUAAAAGCCUAGCUGAAUUUUCCUCAUACACCCAUUUUUUUAUUAUGGCAUUAUUACAGGUAGGUUAUAUUAUAUACCACGUCUCCAUUUCUCAAUCGUCAGUAUGCUAUAGAAAAUACGUGCCCUUUUAAGUGAAAUUAAGAAUCAGACUAAAAAGUAUAUGACAAAAUAUGUAAGCCUAUUUUGAUUAAAAUACUGGAAAAAGAUUUUCAUUCAAGUUUCUGUAUCACUCAUUAUCUGAAUGUGCAAGAUUAUAGCAUAUGGUGCAUAACUUACUAAUAAAAAUACUGUCACUCAUGAA